GAAGGGGGCUAGCGUUGUUCGGAAUGACUGGGCGUAAAGGGCGCGUAGGCGGCGAUUUUAGUCAGGCGUGAAAGCCCUGGGCUCAACCUAGGAACUGCGUUUGAUACUGGAUCGCUUGAGUGUGGGAGAGGAUGGUGGAAUUCCCAGUGUAGAGGUGAAAUUCGUAGAUAUUGGGAAGAACACCGGUGGCGAAGGCGGCCAUCUGGACCACUACUGACGCUGAGGCGCGAAAGCGUGGGGAGCAAACAGGAUUAGAUACCCUGGUAGUCCACGCUGUAAACGAUGUGUGCUAGACGUUGGGGGGUUGCCCUCCGGUGUCGCAGUCAACGCGUUAAGCACACCGCCUGGGGAGUACGGUCGCAAGAUUAAA
rnacentral:rRNA from 1 species